rnacentral:rRNA from 1 species
AUGAAUGACACGAACUACCCCAUCAUGAGUUGGAAUGUCCAUGGUCUAAACACACCGGCGCGCCGUGCAGUCAUAUGUGAUACUGCAAACACGCACAAGCUUGCAAUCCUAUGCCUUCAGGAAACUAAGAUUGAGUGCUGGUCGCCAGCCCUAGCUAGAGAAGUAGGGGGUGCAAGGCUUGACGACUGCGUCGUUCUCCCAGCGAUGGGGACGCGUGGAGGGGUCGCAAUCUUUUGGAACUCCACUUUAGUCUCUGUCCAGUCUCAAGCUAUAGGGCAAUUCUCAAUCACAGCCAAAGUAGCACUUGUGAACUCCUCGGCCUCCUACUGGCUGACCACGGUGUAUGGGCCUGCUGACGAAGCACGGAAAGAUGAUUACCUCGCAGAGAUUGCAAGCGUGGCGCCCCCACCUGGUGAAGCAUGGUUAAUCAAUGGCGACUUCAACAUCAUCUAUGAGGCUAGAGAUAAAAGCAAUAGUAACAUAAAUCGCCGGGUCAUGGGAAAGUUCAGAGCAGCCAUAGACGGAGCUGGAUUGCGUGAAAUCAAAUGCAAAGAUCGUCGUUUUACUUGGAGCAACGAACAACGAGCCCCGACACUAGUUAGCAUAGAUAAAUUCUUCUGCACCAUCGCUUGGGAGGGCCUCUUCCCGACCUAG